CCCCUUCAGAUUCCUUACCCAUCAGCCUUAAACACUGGUCUGAGUGGUGACAAGAGGAGAAAGUGUGAAACUGAAAGUGGCUCAAUUGCAUUUCUGAUACACAAGCUCUCAAAAACUC
rnacentral:snoRNA from 1 species